rnacentral:rRNA from 1 species
UACGGAGGAUGCAAGCGUUAUCCGGAAUGAUUGGGCGUAAAGCGUCCGCAGGUGGCAAUGUAAGUCUGCUGUCAAAGCGUCUGGCUCAACCAGAUAAAGGCAGUGGAAACUACAUAGCUAGAGUACGGUCGGGGUAGAAGGAAUUCCUGGUGUAGCGGUGAAAUGCGUAGAGAUCAGGAAGAACACCGGUGGCGAAAGCGUUCUGCUAGACCUGUACUGACACUGAGGGACGAAAGCUAGGGGAGCGAAUGGG